rnacentral:rRNA from 1 species
GAUGAACGCUGGCGGCGUGCCUAAUACAUGCAAGUCGAGCGAACGGACGAGAAGCUUGCUUCUCUGAUGUUGGCGGCGGACGGGUGAGUAACACGUGGAUAACCUACCUAUAAGACUGGGAUAACUUCGGGAAACCGGAGCUAAUACCGGAUAAUAUAUUGAACCGCAUGGUUCAAAAGUGAAAGACGGUCUUGCUGUCACUUAUAGAUGGAUCCGCGCUGCAUUAGCUAGUUGGUAAGGUAACGGCUUACCAAGGCAACGAUGCAUAGCCGACCUGAGAGGGUGAUCGGCCACCCUGGAACUGAGACACGGUCCAGACUCCUACGGGAGGCAGCAGUAGGGAAUCUUCCGCAAUGGGCGAAAGCCUGACGGAGCAACGCCGCGUGAGUGAUGAAGGUCUUCGGAUCGUAAAACUCUGUUAUUAGGGAAGAACAUAUGUGUAAGUAACUGUGCACAUCUUGACGGUACCUAAUCAGAAAGCCACGGCUAACUACGUG